GUGCCAGCCGCCGCGGUAAUACAGAGGGUGCGAGCGUUAAUCGGAAUUACUGGGCGUAAAGGGCGCGUAGGCGGUUGUAUGUGAGUGAUGUGAAAUCCCCGGGCUUAACCUGGGAAGUGCAUUGCUGACUGUAUGACUGGAGUAUAUGAGAGGGUGGCGGAAUUUCCGGUGUAGCGGUGAAAUGCGUAGAGAUCGGAAGGAACGUCAAUGGCGAAGGCAGCCACCUGGCAUAAUACUGACGCUGAGGCGCGAAAGCAUGGGGAGCGAACAGGAUUAGAUACCCCUGUAGUCC
rnacentral:rRNA from 1 species